UCUUAAAAAAGAUGAGCCCAAAGCAACUGCCGGUUCCAAUAGUGUCUCUACACUGGACUCAUCUUCCUCCGAGAUGAGUUCAAAGAGUACAGACUCGGAGUCAUCCAACAGCUCAUCCUCAGAGGACAAAAAGAGGAAGAAGAAGGGGAAAGGGAGAAAGAAGGCAUCCAAGAGGGUUAAAAUGGAAAAAACUCUGCAAAGAGCCCGGAAUCCCGAGCAGGCUUUGGCCCGGUACAAAAAGAUUCUUAAAUGCUACAAGAGGCUUGGAACCAUGUCUGGGGCAUUUCGAAAGGUCGGUGUUGACCGUAAUACAGUGGUGGUCAAUGCACCAAUCGCCGAGCUUUCCAUUGCUGCCCCAGACCAGUACAAGGAAGCUUUGAAAACGUAUACCCAUUCCACAAAAUUGAAAGCAUUUGCGGAACACUGUGCCUUGACAAUUCUAGGCGAUGUAGAAAUAGUUGACGCAGUUAACACGCUUAAAGCCAGUGGUAAGCUGCUACCACUGAAAAAUAAAUAAUUAUGUGCAUUUUGUAUUAUGCUUUACAAGUGUUCCUGUAAAGUAAUUUUUACAUUUUCUGUACAAUACCACUGUUCAUAUUUUAUCUGUAUUUUUUUGUUGUGUGUUCUUUGUUGAAAAGAAGAAUUUAUGUAGUUUAAAAUAAAUAUUUGUACGUUUUCAGCACUUCA